GGUCAUCUUGUUUUGGGAACACAUGCAUGACUCAUGAUCAGGUAUGAAAACGUAGUAUCAUGGCGUGAGAAAGGUGUGGAAAUGUUGGAAAUACGUUGUGGGAAACGUUCACUGACAAAUAUGUCAUACAAAUCCAACCCAUUCUUAAACCCUAACACAGUAAUAUUAAUGUCAAUUUGAAUGUCAUCCAGUGACAUUAACAUAUUUUGUUAUUAGGCACAGAUGUUAGGUUCUGUAUUUGUUCCGUUUGGGUUUUGGCAUUCAUUUAGCUUUUUUUCUGGAAUACCUGUGACCCACAGCACGACCAAUGCCUGUCACAAAUGUCGUCCCUUCCCCACCAGAUACAUACAAAAACACAGUUACAUAAAUUGUUAAAUUUCAAUAUUUUCUCUAGAUAUGACUUCCGCAGUAAGGUGGCGGAUGUUCUGGAGGUCGACGUGUCCAGGGUCACCAUCCUUCCAGGGUCUCCUGUGGCCACGAGGGACGGGACAUGCCUAGAAGUCCGCUAUCUUGUCUCAGGGGACGUGAGUACAGACAAGAUGAACUCUGUCAAAGACAGUCCGAAGAUGGGCCUGCUGAGACAGACAAAGGUUUGCUCAAGAAGUGCUGGACUACGAUGGGAGCCAGGGAGAUAUCUGACAGUGUUCACUAUAGCUGCAGCCUAUGUCAUACACUCUUUGAUGAUCCACCAGUAGUUCAAAUCCUGUACAUGUUAACCCUAAUAGGAAUAAACACUGGUACUUUUCCAAGCUGCAAUGAAGUUUACAUUUAAAUGCCAACUUCCUGUAUUAUAUUGUAAAAUGUCAAAGUUUGGAUGAAUAUUGCUGAGUAUUUUGUUUAAGGUCAAUAUCCAACAUCAGAGCAAAAGUAAUAAGACAAGAAUUGUUCAUUUGUGAAACUGUGCAGUUUCUGCUCAUCCAACCUGCAGUUUUGGAAACUGAUGCUGUACAUUUAUUCCAGUCGGCCACUAUAUUCAUGCGUUUUCUCAUGGUUGUCACUGCCACAUUUCCAUCCAUUUUAUUUUCAAGUCUUGUUUGUGUUUUUAUUUAUUUACAAAUAUUUUGAUGAUUAAGAAAUAAAUUUGGAUACAUCCCUUUACAACUGCA
rnacentral:lncRNA from 1 species